rnacentral:rRNA from 1 species
CGGAAGGGGCGAGCGUUACUCGUACGUAUUGGGCGUAAGGCGUCCGUAGGUGGUGCAAACUUUUUUCUUGAAGUAAAGAUAAUUUCGGUCUUUAUUAAGUACACCCGAGUUUCUUCGAAGUUUAAGGUACCCUUGAUGGAGGGGUGGAAUCCAAAAAGAUCAAUGGGGGACCUCCCACGGCGAAGGCAUUAUCACUAGAAGAUUCUAACACUGAGGGACUAAAGCGUGGGGAGCAAACAGGAUU